rnacentral:rRNA from 1 species
GACGUAGGGCGCGAGCGUUGUCCGGAUUUAUUGGGCGUAAAGAGCUCGUAGGCGGCUUGUCGCGUCGAAUGUGAAAUCUCAGGGCUCAACUCUGACAUUGCAUUCGAUACGGGCAGGCUAGAGUUCGGUAGGGGAGACUGGAAUUCCUGGUGUAGCGGUGAAAUGCGCAGAUAUCAGGAGGAACACCAAGAGCGAAGGCAGCUCGAGGGGACGGUACUGACGCUGAGGCGCGAAAGCGUGGGGAGCGAACAGG